rnacentral:rRNA from 1 species
CCUACGGGAGGCAGCAGUGGGGAAUAUUGCACAAUGGAGGGAACUCUGAUGCAGCAACGCCGCGUGAGUGAAGAAGGUUUUCGGAUCGUAAAACUCUGUCAUUGGGGAAGAAUAAAUGACGGUACCCAAUGAGGAAGCCCCGGCUAACUACGUGCCAGCAGCCGCGGUAAU